GAUGAACGCUGGCGGCGUGCCUAAUACAUGCAAGUCGAGCGAACAGACGAGGAGCUUGCUCCUCUGACGUUAGCGGCGGACGGGUGAGUAACACGUGGAUAACCUACCUAUAAGACUGGGAUAACUUCGGGAAACCGGAGAUAAUACCGGAUAAUAUAUUGAACCGCAUGGUUCAAUAGUGAAAGACGGUUUUGCUGUCACUUAUAGAUGGAUCCGCGCCGCAUUAGCUAGUUGGUAAGGUAACGGCUUACCAAGGCAACGAUGCGUAGCCGACCUGAGAGGGUGAUCGGCCACACUGGAACUGAGACACGGUCCAGACUCCUACGGGAGGCAGCAGUAGGGAAUCUUCCGCAAUGGGCGAAAGCCUGACGGAGCAAUGCCGCGUGAGUGAUGAAGGUCUUCGGAUCGUAAAACUCUGUUAUUAGGGAAGAACAAAUGUGUAAGUAACUAUGCACGUCUUGACGGUACCUAAUCAGAAAGCCACGGCUAACUACGUG
rnacentral:rRNA from 1 species